rnacentral:tRNA from 2 species
GGAGAGAUGGCCGAGAGGUUGAAGGCGCUCGCCUCGAAAGCGAGUGGGCGGCAACCCCGUCCCGUGAGUUCGAAUCUCACUCUCUCCGCCA